UACGUAGGGGGCUAGCGUUGUCCAGAAUCAUUGGGCGUAAAGAGCUCGUAGGCGGUGUGUCACGUCGGCCGUGAAAACCUGCAGCUUAACUGUGGGCGUGCGGUCGAUACGGGCAUCACUGGAGUUCGGCAGGGGAGACUGGAAUUCCUGGUGUAGCGGUGAAAUGCGCAGAUAUCAGGAGGAACACCGGUGGCGAAGGCGGGUCUCUGGGCCGAUACUGACACUGAGAGACGAAAGCUAGGGGAGCGAAUGGG
rnacentral:rRNA from 1 species